GGAGAAAUCCUGUUCGUUCUAUACAAGGUAUCUGCUCUCCAAUACGCAUCAGAGGUUGUGAUGGAGCUGAUUUUUUAUUUGCCUUUUGCCCCAAGCUAUUGCACUUGUCUCUAGAGGCCCUCAUGAAGACCCAACGCAAUGAAGUCCGCUUGAAUUGUGUAGCGUUCUUGACAGUGUUGGCUCAGACUCGGAGAGGACUUUUCGGGGCAGCAUAUGCAGUUGAUUUAAAUAGCAUGAGUUCAUCUGAAGGAGAUAGCUUUGAGCAAGCAACAUAAGAUGGAAAAAAUGCGAAUCCAAUGAAUAUAUUGUUUACGGAGGCCAUCAAAGGCCCACUUCUUUCAACAGACAGCCAACUUCAGAUCAGCACACUGGAUUUACUUUUUAAUUACGUGUCCUCCUGGGAAGGCACUUCAGGCAAAGAAACGCAAGUCCCAGUGGAAGAAAACAUUGCAGAUAUGUAUUUGAAAUACUGAGAUUGUCAGGUACUUGACAUAUUAUCAAAAGCCGAGCAAGCUUUAAAACAGGGCUUCUUGUUGGGUUUACAACUUUGGUUCCAGU